rnacentral:rRNA from 1 species
UACGUAGGGGGCAAGCGUUGUCCGGAAUUAUUGGGCGUAAAGAGCGUGUAGGCGGCCAGAUAAGUCCGCUGUGAAAUCUCGAGGCUCAACUUCGAGCUGUCGGUGGAAACUAUCUGGCUAGAGUCCGGAAGAGGAGAAUGGAAUUCCUGGUGUAGCGGUGAAAUGCGCAGAUAUCAGGAAGAACACCCGUGGCGAAGGCGGGUCUCUGGACAGUUCCUGACGCUGAGGCACGAAGGCCAGGGGAGCAAACGGG